rnacentral:rRNA from 1 species
AGCCUGACGCAGCGACGCCGCGUGGUGCGAUGAAGGCCUUUGGGUCGUAAAGCACUGUCGAUCGGGACGAAAUCUCGCGGGCUAACACCUCGCGAGUUUGACGGUACCGGUAAAGGAAGCACCGGCCAACUCUGUGCCAGCACCGCGGUAA